AGUGAACGCUGGCGGCAGGCCUAAUACAUGCAAGUCGAACGGCAGCACAGUAAGCUUUCUCCCCUACGGGUGGCGAGUGGCGGGUGGGUGACGAAUACAUCGCCUACCUCUAUUUCUUGGGUGACAUCGUAGGGCCACAUAUGCUAACACAGCAUAUGAUGUACGGCUGAAAUCAAUAGUGAUUCGCAGCUUUCGCGAUACAAUGAGACGGUGCCGCAUUAGCUAGUUGGCGUGGUAAAGGCACACCAAGGCAACGCUGCGUAGCUGAUCUGAGAGGAUGAUCGGCCACACUGGAACUGAGACACGGUCCAGACUCCUACGGGAGGCAGCAGUAGGGAAUCUUGGGCAAUGGGCGAAAGCCUGACCGAGCCAUGCCGCGUGAGUGAAGAAGGUCUUCGGAUCGUAAAACCCUGUUAUUAGGGAAGAAAAACAGCGGAAGAAACCCCGGAUGUUCUGACGGUACCCAAAGAAUAAGCAACGGCUAACUUCGUG
rnacentral:rRNA from 1 species